rnacentral:rRNA from 1 species
GCCGAGCGGUAGAGAUCUUUCGGGAUCUUGAGAGCGGCGUACGGGUGCGGAACACGUGUGCAACCUGCCUUUAUCAGGGGGAUAGCCUUUCGAAAGGAAGAUUAAUACCCCAUAAUAUAUUGAGUGGCAUCACUUAAUAUUGAAAACUCCGGUGGAUAGAGAUGGGCACGCGCAAGAUUAGAUAGUUGGUGAGGUAACGGCUCACCAAGUCUGCGAUCUUUAGGGGGCCUGAGAGGGUGAUCCCCCACACUGGUACUGAGACACGGACCAGACUCCUACGGGAGGCAGCAGUGAGGAAUAUUGGACAAUGGGUGCGAGCCUGAUCCAGCCAUCCCGCGUGAAGGACGACGGCCCUAUGGGUUGUAAACUUCUUUUGUAUAGGGAUAAACCUACUCUCGUGAGAGUAGCUGAAGGUACUAUACGAAUAAGCACCGGCUAACUCCGUGCCAGCAGCCGCGGUAAUACGGAGGGUGCAAGCGUUAUCCGGAUUUAUUGGGUUUAAAGGGUCCGUAGGCGGAUCUGUAAGUCAGUGGUGAAAUCUCACAGCUUAACUGUGAAACUGCCAUUGAUACUGCAGGUCUUGAGUGUUGUUGAAGUAGCUGGAAUAAGUAGUGUAGCGGUGAAAUGCAUAGAUAUUACUUAGAACACCAAUUGCGAAGGCAGGUUACUAAGCAACAACUGACGCUGAUGGACGAAAGCGUGGGGAGCGAACAGGAUUAGAUACCCUGGUAGUCCACGCCGUAACGAUGCUAACUCGUUUUUGGGUUUUCGGAUUCAGAGACUAAGCGAAAGUGAUAAGUUAGCCACCUGGGGAGUACGAACGCAAGUUUGAAACUCAAAGGAAUUGACGGGGGCCCGCACAAGCGGUGGAUUAUGUGGUUUAAUUCGAUGAUACGCGAGGAACCUUACCAAGGCUUAAAUGGGAAAUGACAGGCUUAGAAAUAGGCUUUUCUUCGGACAUUUUUCAAGGUGCUGCAUGGUUGUCGUCAGCUCGUGCCGUGAGGUGUUAGGUUAAGUCCUGCAACGAGCGCAACCCCUGUCACUAGUUGCCAUCAUUAAGUUGGGGACUCUAGUGAGACUGCCUACGCAAGUAGAGAGGAAGGUGGGGAUGACGUCAAAUCAUCACGGCCCUUACGCCUUGGGCCACACACGUAAUACAAUGGCCGGUACAGAGGGCAGCUACACUGCGAAGUGAUGCAAAUCUCGAAAGCCGGUCUCAGUUCGGAUUGGAGUCUGCAACUCGACUCUAUGAAGCUGGAAUCGCUAGUAAUCGCGCAUCAGCCAUGGCGCGGUGAAUACGUUCCCGGGCCUUGUACACACCGCCCGUCAAGCCAUGGAAGUCUGGGGUAC